GUACUUGCUUUGGCAGAAUAUAUACUAAAAUUGGAACAAUACAGAGCAGAUUAGCAUGGCCACUGCACAAGGAUGACACGCAAAUUUAUGAAGCCUGAAAACCUAUA